GUGGAUUAGAUACCCUGGUAGUCCACGCCCUAAACGAUGCUCACUAGGUGUUGGGGAAGCGAUUCCUUGGUACCGUAGCUAACGCGUGAAGUGAGCCGCCUGGGGAGUACGGCCGCAAGGUUAAAACUCAAAGGAAUUGACGGGGACCCGCACAAGCGGUGGAUGAUGUGGAUUAAUUCGAUGCAACGCGAACAACCUUACCUACCCUUGACAUGUCUGGAAGCCUGCUGAAAGGCGGGUGUGCCUGAAAGGGAACCGGAACACAGGUGCUGCACGGCCGUCGUCAGCU
rnacentral:rRNA from 1 species